rnacentral:rRNA from 1 species
UACAGAGAGUGCAAACGUUGUUCGGAAUCACUGGGCAUAAAGCGCACGUAGCGGCGCCAUAAGUGCGGGUUGAAAUCCCACGGCUUACCCGUGGAACUGGCUUGUAGACUGUGGUGCUCGAGGAUGGUAGGGGAGAGCGGAACUCCUGGUGGAGCGGUGAAAUGCGUAGAGAUCAGGAGGAACACCGGGUGGCGAAGGCGGCUCUCUGGGUCCAUUGACUG